rnacentral:tRNA from 1 species
GGUGCUAUAGUGUAGUGGUUAUCACUCGGGAUUUUGAAGUCAACUUUCCCGAAACCCAGGUUCGAACCCUGGUAGCACCU